rnacentral:sRNA from 1 species
GAAGGAGCUAGAGAUUAAGCUUUUCCACAAUGCAAAUUAAUUCAACAAUAUACCUCUUAUUUAAUUAGUAAAAAGCUUAAUAAUAGCCUUCUGAUAAGCAAAUGUUGCAUUUUAGAGGUGAUAUUAUGGCA